AUGGUUCAAAUUACAAAAGCAAGUCUAGUCGAAAUGUUGAAUUACAUAUCAAACCUAGUUAGAUCCUCCUUAACUAUUUUCUUCCCCUCUCUUAUAAGGACGCGUGGUGGAGAAAAAAAGUCAAAGCUCAGCAAAGGAGGUGGUGGACAAAUUAAUAAGAAAGGACCAAAGGAGACAAAGAGUUUGGAAAACAACUCCAAAAAUUCAGAGGCAGAAUGA